rnacentral:misc_RNA from 1 species
CAGGAAGUUAUGCGCGUUAUAUGAUUCCAACUAUAUUCGCGUAUGCACUUCUACAGUGUCAUAUUAGAUUUCUACAAACACAAAACAAUGUGAACCCCAUGAUGUUCAGCGCGGGGAUCACUACUUUACUGCAUAUAUUUACUUGUUGGAUUCUGGUCUUUAAAUCUGGCCUAGGGAACAAGGGUGCUGCUCUUGCUAAUGCGAUAUCCUACUGGAUUAAUCUCUUGUUGUUAGCGGUAUAUGUCAGAAUAUCGCCUUCUUGUAGAAACACUUGGACUGGAUUUUCAAAAGAGGCGUUUCGUGAUAUAUGGAAAUAUAUGAAACUUGCCAUUCCUUCUGCUGUUAUGCUCUGGUAGUGUGUUCUUUGUCUAUGUAUACUCGUCCUUUCAUAAUGAACGAAUGAAUCAAAUGUUUUG